UGCUCCAAAAUAGCCUGGUUAAUAUUUGCAGAGUGGUUCAGCUCCUUUCUCUCUCCUGCCUUUCAAAAAGAUGCUAUUCCUGUGAUUAAAACCAUUACAGUCCUUCAAAGGUUAUACAUGACUUUCAGGCUUCAGCCUCAAUAGAAGCAGCUAAAAUAGCUAAGCUUUAGACACAAGUCUAGCUGUCACAACCAAAUUAUAGUACACCAAUCAGACCUUCAUGCUAUUGUUCUAUAGAAUAUGAGGGGCCAUCCAAACCCAUCUGGGUCUCUACUCUGCAUAUCACCCUGAGGAAGUGAGCCACCACUGAGUCUAGAUGGCAGUGUGAUUUCGUGCCUAUUAAUUGGUACAACAUUGGUCAGUUUGAGAAGAUGCCAGAGGUCAAUUCCUGUUCUCAGUAGGCAUUGUUAAAUCAAUAAUGGAAUGCAAAGGUGUGAUGAAGAAUUAUCAGAUGCAGAUGAAGUGUCAAGAAGAUCUAUUAUUGGCAUUUGAUGAAAAAUUAUGAUGUUAUCCAUCCACCUUGCUCUUGGCAAAGGAAGCAUCAUUAAAAAGUCUGAUAUAAGACAAUACGUUCAUUAUUUUGUUGAGUUUAAAAUUUACAUUUAUGAAAUUUACAGUUUUCCAUUUUAGAAAUCUCAGCUUACCAAAUUCCAUAAAAAGCACUAACAAUGUGUGUUUUAACAGUUUUUCAACAUCAACAUAAAUUAUUUCUUUUAAUUGGGUAAGUUUCCUUUCCUUAUUUUUCCUCAAAAAUAAAAUCUGGACAGUUGUUUACAUGUGGGUAUGUAUGAAGGGACAGGAAUGGUAUAAGAUCUGAAUUCUGAUGUGUUGGCAUCAAAGGCUUAAAAAACAAUUUUUUAACCCAAUGAGGAGUCCUAGAACAGCUUCCUUGUGUCAAAGUUUUGGAAAUACAUAAAGAAUGGAGAAAAAAGACACCAUUGGUGCCUGACCCACAUCGCCUAAGUACUCAACAUUCCCAUGCAAGGAGAUGGUUUACUACUACAAGCACCUGCCACUCUCCCCAGAGUGUCUCCUGCAUGCAGGCUGGAAGCAUUGGAGAGUCCCCAGAAACAGCCGUCAAUCAAUGACUAACCAGAGUUGGUGAAUAAACACCUCAGCUCCCUCGCCCCUCAAGAGGGAUAAUAAUGAUAUGUGUUUUGUGAUGUUCACCUAAAGAUAGUUUUAAACCAUAACUGGCUAUAUUGGGUUUGGGUGGAUAUUUGUGAAUUCUUGCCUUAUUUUAAAUCUGAUGCCAGUAUUGGUUUCAAAUACCUGCUCAAACAAUUACUAGUUAUGUUAUCAUGUACAACACUUAAUUUUUCUGUGCAUCAGUGUCCCAGUUUGGAAAAUAUAGUUUGGUAAAUUAAAUUCAUAUAUGUAAAAAGAUUUCAAGGUCUCUGGCUUUAGUAAGCCAUACAUAAGUAUUGGUUACUAUCAUUAGUAUGAUAAUUACUAUUUCUAGUUUAUUUUGUUUAACUCAAGCUGCUCCUAUCCAUACUGUUCUACAAUUGAUACUGAUAUAAGGAAGGGACUUUUUCCAUUAUUUCCACAAGAACAUUCUCUUUAUUGUACUCAAAGAUGGAUAAACUAUAUUGUGCUAAAAUAUAGUGGUCAUGAAUAUCUAGAUUUUCAAUCCAAGUCUGGAUUUCUAGUUCUCAAUUCAAGAUUCCAAACGAAUAUCUAAUACAAUGACCAUAAUAAUUCAGUUUUCAUAUAAUUAUGUAAAAAAUUUCUAACCAUGCCUACAUUUCUGACAUUAUUCUUUGUAACUCCCCUUCAUACAUCCUAUGUGCACUCCAGAUAUUCUCUAGGUAUCCCUCCCCCUCAAUUUUAUACCAUUCCAGACAUUCUUUCUACAACGGAAAUUUUACUUAUUCUGUAAUACCUGAUUCAAAUGUUAACUAUCCUACUGAUCUUACUCUGUUCUUCUAAAAAAAAUUACCUUUCUCUGUAAAAUCAAAUUUCCAAGAACAAAUAAUCUUCUAUGUUAUGCUAUGACUAUAUAAGUCCCUGCAUUAAGGAUACAAGCAUUUGGGUUCAUAUAUACUUGAGGGUUGGGGCAGGAUUAACACUUGGCUUACUAGAUGUCCCUCAUAACAUUAUUCAUAGUAAACAUUAAAUAAAUCAUGUUAAAUAUAAAAUUGUGGGUGAAUGCAGAUUAAGAUAGACAGAAAGCAAAAGAUGAAUAUUCUGGUUUUAUUGUCAGAGAAUAUCUGAAUUGAAUACAUUUUCCCACUAAAUUAUUAAGAAACAGAAUUCUCAAGAGAUCCUAACUCGAAGCUUUAAAUAUAUAUAAUCAAUAGAUUCAUUAAAAAAAAGCAUAUGAGUCUAAGCAAAAGCCAUAUUAGAUCAUCUAACAUUGUAAAUUAACAGGUGCACUUUGUUAGGAAGUUAGAUAAAUGAACAAUAAAAUUUCUCUUUUCUACUCAAGUAAUUGAUAAAUAGGCACACACUUUAAGAAAAAGAGGUGGAAUCUGUUUUGGUUUUAUUUUCUUCUGUAACACUCUUUUUUAUCUAAACCUAAUCAUGUUGUGGAAUCUGUUCUUCACAUUUAUGUUUAAAUAACAUAAGAAAUAAGGCUUCUAGUAGUCCAGUUUUUAUGUAAUUUCUAGUCUGUACUUAUGUCACAAUCACUUGUGAGUUCAAAUCUUGAAAUACCUAAUCAGGAAUGCUCAAAUAGAGAAGACAUUUUGAGAUAAAUUACCUAUUUCAAAUAAAAAUUAGAUAUUUCCUUCUUCA